rnacentral:rRNA from 1 species
UACGUAGGGGGCGAGCGUUGUCCGGAUUUAUUGGGCGUAAAGAGCUCGUAGGCGGUUCGGUAAGUCGGAUGUGAAAUCUCCACGCUCAACGUGGAGGGGCCAUUCGAUACUGCCGUGACUCGAGUCCGGUAGGGGAGUGUGGAAUUCCCGGUGUAGCGGUGAAAUGCGCAGAGAUCGGGAGGAACACCCGUAGCGAAGGCGGCACUCUGGGCCGGUACUGACGCUGAGGAGCGAAAGCGUGGGGAGCAAACGGG